GAUGAACGCUGGCGGCGUGCUUAACACAUGCAAGUCGAACGAAGCACUUAAGAUUGAUUCUUCGGAUGACGUCUUUUGUGACUUAGUGGCGGACGGGUGAGUAACGCGUGGGUAACCUGCCUCACACAGGGGGAUAACAGCUAGAAAUGACUGCUAAUACCGCAUAACCCGAUAGGAUCGCAUGAUCCAGACGGAAAAGAUUUAUCGGUGUGAGAUGGACCCGCGUCUGAUUAGCUAGUUGGUGAGGUAACGGCCCACCAAGGCGACGAUCAGUAGCCGGCCUGAGAGGGUGAACCGCCACAUUGGGACUGAGACACGGCCCAAACUCCUACGGGAGGCAGCAGUGGGGAAUAUUGCACAAUGGCGGGAACCCUGAUGCAGCGACGCCGCGUGAGUGAAGAAGUAUUUCGGUAUGUAAAGCUCUAUCAGCAGGGAAGAAAAUGACGGUACCUGACUAAGAAGCCCCGGCUAACUACGUG
rnacentral:rRNA from 1 species